GUGAUAAUGGCUGUAAUAGUUCAAAUAAGGAAACAUAAUUCACUUGGGAAAAUUCCUGAGAUAAAGGCACAAUAUUAGCGGUUGGCGAAGGAAGCUUGUAAAUCUGGCGCACACUCAGGUCGGGAAAAAUAGCCAAAGCUUGGUGAUUCCAAACAAAUUGAAACAUGUAGCUAUGAAAUCCGUCAACAUAUAUGCGGCAUAAGGCAAGAGGUCUGUUGCUGAUGGACAAAGUCUUCAGUGAGGAUGAUGUGAAAGAACCCAAACAAGCCAAAAUCCCAAGAGUAUCUGUUGGAUAAGAUGACAAAGAGCCUUCAAGCUCUCUAACAAAUCUGGGCCCUAUUGAUCCCUUGUUAGAUUUGCAGGAUACGACAACUUUGGUGGGCUCAAACAACACAUUUUUAAUCGAAAAUUGGCCCACCAAAUCCACCCCACCAUCGCCCUUUCCACCACAUCUUUCAAGCUGAAAACUGUGUUGCUUUAGCACAUACUGUACCAAGUAUUCAAACAAGGUUCCUUGGGCAACAGUAUUCGACGUUGAAGGCUUCUGAACACUCAAAUGUUCUAAAUAGGAAACAAGAUUGUUGUGUGUGACAGACAAGUUUCUAAGGCCUAAAAGGCCUCUGUUCAUGAAUGAAAAAUUUCUACACCGAUUGAACCCUGACUUUAAAAUCCACAUCACGCUAGACAGAAUGCGAAAGACUUAAACAGUAUAAAGUUCAGGAUAAGAAAUGAAUUAUGCAAAUAUUCAUUCCCUUCUAAUUCGAAUAACAACGACUGAGGAUCGAAAGUAGUUAUUUAAAUAAUUUUUGCUGAAUUUUAGAAGUUCGUGAAUCACGCCGUUCCUUAGUAAUUUUAAUUAAUCUGUUAACGGUUUGCAAAAGCAAAUUCGCGAUAUCUAAGAAAAAUUUAUUCAGAAAAUAACAAAAAUACAGAGCUUUGAGGAUUACAAGCAAGCGACAAAAUAAUUGAAACUGGUUCUGCUGUAUUUCAUGGAAUGAUCCAGCUUCCUUGGUAGC